GGGAUCUAAAAAUAAAAAAAUUGAACUCUUGGAGACAGAGAAUAAAAGGAUGAUUACGAGAGGCUGGGAAGCAUAGUGGUGAGAGUAGGGGU